UGUAGAACGAAAAGGUAGGCUUAAUUUUCCGUUACGAUUUGCUGGCAACAAUGGUGGGUAAAUACGUUCGAAAAUCAGCGCGACAAAGUUGGAGUGAAGAAAAUAUGACCCAAGCACUAGAGGCAGUUAGAAAUCGACGAAUGGGAUGACUUUUAGCUUCUAAGACGUUCAAUGUGCCCCACACUACUUUUAGAAGAAGAGCUAAGAAUGAUCGAGGAGCCAUUAAAGGAUACUCAGGAGGACAUGCCCCAACUUUCAAUGCUGAGUUAGAAAAUGAGUUGGUUAGUUAUAUAAAGGAGUUAGAAGUACGUUUCUUUGGUCUUACAACUGAGGAUAUUCGCAAGCUUGCUUAUGAAAUUGCCGAGGCAAAGAAAAUUCCCCAUAGGUUCUC